GGCAGGGGAGGGCGUGGUGGCCAUCCGCCGGCCGGGCUGUCGCCGUGGGGGCCAUCCCGAGCCACCACGCGCGGAUAAGAACCUCCCCGAGCCCCCUGGGCAACCCUAGAUCGAGCACUCCCCCUCGUUCGCCCUAUCCCACUCUGCUUCUCUUGCCCGCAUGUUCGUCAACGCGAUCCCGUCGUUGACACGGCCACCGGCCACCGUUCGCCGCACCGACUAGUCCAGGAGGACUACCAACGUCUUCUUCGUCCAUCCAGAGCAUCAAAUCGAGCGGAUCCGUCCCGUGCGCUCGCCAUCGAGCUCCUAUUCGCCGCGUACAUCGCCGGCCGCCGUCGUCGAUUGCCUCGUCUCCGGUACACCUCCGGCCGUCCCGUCGCUUCCGUUGGAACCGUUACCCCGAGACCGCUGCCGAUGCCCAUGUGAUCGUCUACGCCACCGACGACUCUUCUUCCCUUUCAACAGAGCUUCCAGGCAAGCCCCCCCUUUGAUCAUCCCGAUAUCGCCCAUUUCAUUCUCUCAUGCUUGCAUUAGAUUUUGCUACUGUAAUUGAUUGCUCCUAUUUUGAUGCAUAGCCUGCUUUUGUACCUGUUGUUGUACCUUACAUGCUUAUCCUAAACUGCUUAGUAUAGGUUGGUUAGUGAUCCAUCAGUGACCCCCACCUUGUUCUUGUUGCCCCUGCUCCAUCAUCGACGACUUGAUCAACGUGAUCGACGACCAGACCCGACACCUCACAUCACAUCACACCCCUUUUGUUGCUUGGCUCUAUAGAGUUACUAUCGAGUGCCGAGGGUGAUACCUCGUAACGCACUCCUGAUGAUGACUCUGUAGUGUAGCUAUUCAGUCGUGGUCAUCGAGGGUGAUUCUCCUCCUUUACCACUCCCGAUACGACUCUGUCAUGCAACCCCUCAAGUGUGAACCUCGAGGGUGGUUCCUCUUACGUUCACCUUGAUGAUUACAGAAUCCACCGAGGGUGAUUCCUCGGGUUUUCCUCCUUGAUGUUUCGGACACAUGGUUACCCGUACUUUACUUGAGACCUUGUUGAAGUCGGGUCGGCCCUGAGAGGUACCCGCGAGUUGAUGUGAAAGUCAGGCGGGCCCGUAGAGCACCCGCGAGUUUUCUACGAGGCGCGACCAGGCAUUCUGGGCCCUUGCCGUAAGUCCACGAGACGGGGCGACGGGGUCACAUUAUCGUGAGUCUCUGCUAAUCUCCACGAGCCCCCAAUGCACUAACAGGUUUGGGUAUUUGUUUUGAGUUGGCCUCUGGUCUUUACGCACUAGCCAACACACAAGAAUAGUUAUGGGCCUCGACGUCGUGGUAUCAACCGAAGCUUUGUGAGGCAUCCAGUUCAGUAAUGUGGGCCCGUCGGGCCAGUGCCAUCCAGUAUGAGGUGGUGCUCAUCCCGGCUCAUCGCAUAAUGACCCAGAGUACAACGGACGAUGGGCCCAAGACCCUGGAAUGCUUAGGAUGUAGACCGGCGGGGACCUCUCUACUGAGCCUAGGUAGGGUUGUGACGUGUUGAUCUUUCGAGGCCGGGCAUUGACUCAGAAAAGUGUGUCCGGCUAGAGUAAUCAAACGUGUUGGGAAACAUGGUGCACCCCUGUAAGGAAGAUUAUCUAUUAAUAGUCCUGUCCACGGUAACGGACAUUCAGACUUAUAUCCUGAUCUAAUACAACUAGAAAUGGAUACUUGAGAUAUGUGAUGGAUAUGUGGCUCCGGGAUUGCUUUCUCGCAGGAAGUCGAGGAAGGAUCUCUGGUCGUUAAUGUUACAACAUGUUUGUUAAAUAUAAAUUGCUAUUCUUUACUCUUCUACAUGCUGCAAGAUGCUUGGAGCUGCUUUAAGAUGCUACUCUUUGAUAGGCUAGGCCUUCCCCUCUAUUCUGGCAUUUUGCAGUUUAGUCCAUAGAUACACCCCUUUCAUUUGAUACAAUGCAUACUUGGUAUAGAUUUGAUGUUUGCGAGUACUUUGGAUGAGUACUCAGGUUGCUUUGCUACCCUUUUCCCCCUUCUUUCUUCUUUCCGGAUGUUGCAACUAGAUGGUGGAUCGCUGGAGCCAGAUGCCACCGCCGACGGAUGCUGCUAUGUGGGGACCGCCAAUGACCAGGAGUAGUUAGGAGGUCCUAGGCAGGAGACCUUGCCUCUUUGAUCGUUGAUGUUCGUGCUAGCCUUAUUAAGGCAAAACUUGUUUAACUUAUGUAUGUACUCAGAUAUUGUUGCUUCCGUUGACUCUUGUGUAUCGAGCUUUUGUAUUCGAGCC